AACGAACGCUGGCGGCAUGCCUAACACAUGCAAGUCGAACGAGACCUUCGGGUCUAGUGGCGCACGGGUGCGUAACGCGUGGGAACCUGCCCUUAGGUUCGGAAUAACUCCCCGAAAGGGGUGCUAAUACCGGAUAAUGUCUUCGGACCAAAGAUUUAUCGCCUUUGGAUGGGCCCGCGUUGGAUUAGCUAGUUGGUAGGGUAAAAGCCUACCAAGGCGACGAUCCAUAGCUGGUCUGAGAGGAUGAUCAGCCACACUGGGACUGAGACACGGCCCAGACUCCUACGGGAGGCAGCAGUGGGGAAUAUUGGAUAAUGGGCGAAAGCCUGAUCCAGCAAUGCCGCGUGAGUGAUGAAGGCCUUAGGGUUGUAAAGCUCUUUUACCCGGGAUGAUAAUAACAGUACCGGGAGAAUAAGCUCCGGCUAACUCCGUG
rnacentral:rRNA from 1 species